rnacentral:lncRNA from 1 species
AAUCUAUUUGCAUCUGUCCGUGCUAUAAUUGGCCUCUAGUGAAUGUUUUAUUGUUUUCUCUCCAGUUACACCCAUUGCUAUUCAACAAUUUCCCACCACAAAUAACAUUAAUAUCCAUUUUCAUAAUUGUUUUCCUAUUUUCAAAAAAAAAAAAAAAAUAGAAGAUGGGAAAAAGCAAUAAAGAAUCUUGCAUGGAAAUAAAACAAUAAUUAAAGGUAAGUUACAUACUUGGCCGGUAACCUAAAAAUAGUUAUUUUUGUUUGUUAAAUAUACGAAAGAUGUAUACUUUUUGUAUCAAAAAUUUAUAUUUGAUGUAGAUCAUAAAUAAUAUACACAUUUGAUGGUUAUUCCUGGAUGGGAGACAACAAAAAAUAAUUAAUUCUAUCUCCUCUCUCGAUUUUUUCUCCUAAAAAUGAAUUUAAAGAAAAUAAUGAAAUAAAAGAAAUAAUUUAUAAUUCAAGUCGCCACAUACCAUGAUACCAGUCCGGCUUUAGAUCGCAAGCAAGUAGCACUUUUUUUUUCUUUUUAAUUCACAAAUUAAUGCUGAAGCCUCACUUCCUCAACAUUGCCACAAGUUCUCAUAAAAGAUGGCAUUAAAGAACAGACCCUUUUUUUUUUCCUAGAUAAGCAUUCAGUACUUCUGAAUUAUGACUAAAGUUGUUAUGCUACACUUUAAUUUAAAGAAAAUUCUAUUAUCCUUGAACUCAAUUUUAAUAAAUUUUUGUCACUCUUUUAUGUUGACGUGAUAUCUUGCCUGAAGUUAAACACCUGAGGCGCAUGACAGUCCUUCACACGCCCCAGGUGUUUAACUUCAGGCAAGAUGUCAUGUCAGCUAAAAAGGUUGACAAAAAUACGCUAAACUUUAGUUCAAGUUAAUAGGACCAUCAUAAAAUUAAAGUGUACCGUAACAAAUUUGGUCAUAGUUCAGGAGAGUCAUAGAUGUUUAUAUCUUUUUCUUUUGGUAAUAGUUUGAUACUCGGUUCUCGUUAAUUUAUUAAAAGAAAAAACGCCUAAAAUGCCCUUUAACUAUGUAAAAUGAUGCAAAAAUAUCUUCUGUAUACCUAUUGGGCCUAAAAUUUUCUUUCUGUCUACCUAUUACGCCUAAAAUGUCCUUUCUGUCUACCUAUUAGGGCCUCAAAAUGCCCUUCUCGUCUACCUAUUGGAUCUAUUUUACCCUUUUAUUUAGGUAAAUUACAUGAAAAGGUCACCUUUAAGACUUAACUACAUAAACAAAGUAGUACUUUUUCAAUGUUACGAACAUAAAAGUUUUUUUAAACAUAUAUGACCAUUUAAAAAAAUCAGAAAAAAUAACUAUAAUUCUUAAUUUAAUGUUCUAACUAAUUAUCAAUUCACCUUAAUUUAGGAGAUAUAUUUUCAAUUUUCAAAUUAAAAGUGGAAAAGAUAAUCCCUACUUCCAAAUCUUUCUCUCUUGUAUUCAAAAUUCAAAUAUUUUUAAAUAAAUUAAAUAUUUCAUUAUUUGCUCAUGUAUAUUUCUUUUUAUUUUCAUAUAUGUUAAUCAUAUAGUAUUAUUUCAUUAUCGUGUAGUUUUCAUUCUAAUGUAAUGAGUUAAUCACAAUCUUUUUAUGAAUAAACAUUCAUAGAUAAAAAUCAUUAUUGUUGAAGUACAAAUAUACCAUGUGUUUUUGUUAUAUAAAUAUAAUUUAUGUCAAAGUCAGAUUAUUAUAUUUUUGAUAUAACUUAUGAGAUAAAUAUUCAUGGUAUAUCUCAUUAUGUUGGAAGUGUUCUUCUUGUUAAAAAAUUAUUAUCAAAAAUAAAUAUAUUUUUUCAGUAUUACAUAAUACAAACUUUUUAUAUCUAAAAUAUACCAUAUAUGUUUAUGGUAUGAAUAUAAUUUCUACUAUAUAAUAUAUCAUGUAUUUAUGGUAUAAAUAUAAUUUGUAUGGUAUAAAUAGAUCAUGUAUUUUAUGAUAUAAAUUUAAUUUAUAUAAUAUAUAAAUAUAUCAUGAAUUUUUAUAAUAUAAUUAUACUAUAUAUUUUUACGAAGGCAUCGUGAAAGCAUGCAAUAAAAAUGAAAAAACAUAAAAUUUUGAUAUAGUAUUUAAAAAAAUGAAUGAAUAGAGACUUCCAUAAAAAUAGGCAAUAAAUAAGAAAUAUGAGAAUUUAAUAUAUAAUUAUUUUUCUAUAUAUUAGAAUCUGUUAUAAAAGUAAAUAUUUUAUAUGCUAUAUCUGACAACCAACUAAUACGGCUAUGUAUAUGUAAUAAUUUUUUAAAAUGACUAUUUAUGUUUUUUUCUUUUAUUUAUCAGAUCAAUUUAGAACGUUGAAAAAUUGAUAUUGUACGCUAUUUAUUUGGUUAAUAUUAAUAAAAAGGAUAGGGACUUUAUGUAGUUUAAUAAAGAUAAGUUGUGGUAUUAUGCAAUUUCUUCUUAAAUAAAAGAGCAAAAUAACCUCAAUAGGUAGACGAAACAGAUAUUUUAGGCCCAAUAAUUGACAUGAAGGUCAUUUUAAGCCUAAUAAGCAGACAAAGAACAUUUUUAAACCAUUUUUAUAGUUGAAAGACAUUUAGACCCUUUUACAUUUAUUUAAUGUGAAGAAUUCCCAUUCCCACCAUGUAUGAUUUAUUUAUGAAGGACAAACGCUCUUAUCUAAGUACAUUUCUUUUCAAAACUUAGAAUCUAAAAUCUCUAAUUAGAUAGUGUUUAUAAUCGCACUACACAUUGGUGAAUUUAACUUGAAUUCAUCACCACAAAUAAAUUAGCAUCCUUUUGUGCGUUUUAUAACGAAGUAAUGUACUACACAUUUUUUUCAUAAUUGUUAAAGGCUAGCUUUCUUUCUCAAGACUGCGAUUUUCAUAAAACUUAAAACUAAAAAACAUACAAGAUCCUAUAAAGGAUUUUAUAUAGUGAUUGAUGAGGCCCUCAGGUCUUCCUGUUUAUGUUCACAGUUUUUUGAUGAACAUCUAUUUAGUCAAUCAUUUCUUAGAUAUUCUAGUUCUUACUUUUUUCGUAUGUAAUUCCUCCGUCUCAAAUUAUUCGUUCCAAAUUUUCUAAUAAAUAUUUCAUUUUACUUGUCUUUUUUCAUUAAUCAAGCCAAG